rnacentral:rRNA from 1 species
AUUGAACGCUGGCGGCAUGCCUUACACAUGCAAGUCGAACGGCAGCACGGGGGGAACCCUGGUGGCGAGUGGCGAACGGGUGAGUAAAGCAUCGGAACGUGCCCUGGAGUGGGGGAUAACGUAGCGAAAGUUACGCUAAUACCGCAUAUUCUGUGAGCAGGAAAGCAGGGGAUCGCAAGACCUUGCGCUCUGGGAGCGGCCGAUGUCGGAUUAGCUAGUUGGUGGGGUAAAGGCCUACCAAGGCGACGAUCCGUAGCGGGUCUGAGAGGAUGAUCCGCCACACUGGGACUGAGACACGGCCCAGACUCCUACGGGAGGCAGCAGUGGGGAAUUUUGGACAAUGGGCGAAAGCCUGAUCCAGCCAUGCCGCGUGAGUGAAGAAGGCCU